GACGAACGCUGGCGGCGUGCUUAACACAUGCAAGUCGAACGGAAAGGCCCUGCUUGCAGGGUACUCGAGUGGCGAACGGGUGAGUAACACGUGGGUGAUCUGCCCUGCACUUCGGGAUAAGCUUGGGAAACUGGGUCUAAUACCGGAUAGGAGCCAUCUUUAGUGUGGUGGUUGGAAAGUUUUUUCGGUGUAGGAUGAGCUCGCGGCCUAUCAGCUUGUUGGUGGGGUAAUGGCCUACCAAGGCGGCGACGGGUAGCCGGCCUGAGAGGGUGUACGGCCACAUUGGGACUGAGAUACGGCCCAGACGCCUACGGGAGGCAGCAGUGGGGAAGAUUGCACAAUGGGCGCAAGCCUGAUGCAGCGACGCCGCGUGGGGGAUGAAGGCCUUCGGGUUGUAAACGCCUUUCGCUAGGGACGAAGCUUUUUGUGACGGUACCUAGAGAAGAAGCACCGGCUAACUACGUG
rnacentral:rRNA from 1 species